rnacentral:rRNA from 1 species
UACGUAGGGUGCGAGCGUUGUCCGGAAUUACUGGGCGUAAAGAGCUCGUAGGUGGUUUGUCGCGUUGUUCGUGAAAACCGGGGGCUUAACCCUCGGCGUGCGGGCGAUACGGGCAGACUUGAGUACUGCAGGGGAGACUGGAAUUCCUGGUGUAGCGGUGGAAUGCGCAGAUAUCAGGAGGUACACCGGUGGCGAAGGCGGGUCUCUGGGCAGUAACUGACGCUGGGGAGCGAAAGCGUGGGGAGCGAACAGG